GAUGAACGCUGGCGGCGUGCCUAAUACAUGCAAGUCGAGCGAACGGACGAGAAGCUUGCUUCUCUGAUGUUAGCGGCGGACGGGUGAGUAACACGUGGAUAACCUACCUAUAAGACUGGGAUAACUUCGGGAAACCGGAGCUAAUACCGGAUAAUAUUUUGAACCGCAUUGUUCAAAAGUGAAAGACGGUCUUGCUGUCACUUAUAGAUGGAUCCGCGCUGCAUUAGCUAGUUGGUAAGGUAACGGCUUACCAAGGCAACGAUGCAUAGCCGACCUGAGAGGGUGAUCGGCCACACUGGAACUGAGACACGUUCCAGACUCCUACGGGAGGCAGAAGUAGGGAAUCUUCCGCAAUGGGCGAAAGCCUGACGGAGCAACGCGGCGUGAGUGAUGAAGGUCUUCGGAUCGUAAAACACUGUUAUUAGGGAAGAACAUAUGUGUAAGUAACUGUGCACAUCUUGACGGUACCUAAUCAGAAAGCCACGGCUAACUACGUG
rnacentral:rRNA from 1 species